rnacentral:lncRNA from 1 species
GUCCAACAGGCAGAACAUGAUACAUAGAGAGAACUGGAAAUAACAAUCGGUGGUAAUCCAGACUGCCAUUCUCAGGGAUAAGGAAAUAGAGGAAUGAGACAGCACAUUAAGAGAAUGAAGAGGGAAAAAAGGAUUCACCAAAAGGAAAGGAGGAUUCUGACUCACAGAUGGAGAACAGCAGGAAGGCGAAAAGGAGAAAUAACCAGGCACAGUGGCUCACGCCUAUAAUCCCAGCACUUUGGGAAGCCAAGGCAGGAGGAUUGCUUGAGGCCAGGAGUUCCUGGCCUCAAGAGACUGAGGUGGGAAGAUGAGCCCAGGAAUUUGAGAAUGCAGUGAGCUAUGAUGUGCCACUGCACUCUAGCCUGGGCUACAGAGCGAGACCCUAUCUAAAAAAAAAGAAAAAAAAUAGAAAAGAAAGAAUUAAAAAGAGGAGAAAUUAUAUUUGGAACUAGAAAGAAGUAGCAAAGCCAUGGAGGACCACAGGUUAGAAAGCUGAGGCACACAGAGAGGGCAAGUAACAGGCCUGAAGUUACACUGCUGGUGAGUCACAGAGCCAUGCUUCAAACCUAGCCUCCUGGCUUCCGAGCCCAGCACUUGGCCACGGCGCUGUGUAGGCUGGCUGGGGCUUGAGUGCUUCCUGGAUGUUUAUGGAAUAUUUUCAAGAGAAAUAUUUUCCUGAGAGCCGACGCCUCCUCUGAAACCCUGCAGCCUUCUCAGCAGGAAACAAUCAGAAGCUUGGCCUUGCCUGCAAAACUCAACACUGAACACCUGAAGGAAAAAAAAAUCCCAUUGGCAAAGCUUGCUUUUAACCGUGGGAGACACCAAGCAACGUUGCCAGUUUCCCGGGGGCCCAAUACCUUUCUGACUUUGCAAUAACUCCCAAGUUAAACAAAUUGCCAAAGAGUUAUAAGCCUCUUAUUAGUUGGAUGGCUUCCCCCAAUUGCUCUGCUGGCUGCAUUUUCCCUGCACACACAUUGGUGAGUUCUGCCGACUAUUCGUGUGCCUGCAAGUUGAGGAGCUCUGGCAUUUCUGUGAUCUACAGUCUCCAAUCUCCACUCCCUCUUGCCUUCACUUUGAACUGAAGUGCUGUCUUAAGCAACCCCACUACCCACCACCUAACAAGCCAGGACGUGAGUCUUCAUGACUGUUACAACACUUGAACCUGAUUCCAGGCUAACCAGUAACACCAGUAUUCAAACUGCAGUGUGAGGAACACCGCAACAAGCUGAAGAAAUGGCCUGUACCGAUUUCCUAAUGGUCAGAGGAUGAAGUGCGGCACAGCAACAGCUGGAAACACAGGUUACAGAAGGCUUAGACAAGAGAGGCAUUGGAGAAUACCGUGAAAAUCUAAAAUAGAGAGCUAGCAUUCGUUUAUGGCCUUCAGUUUACAUGGCAGAAGCCAAAAUGGAGAGCUGGGAGAGAUCAGUUUCACCUGGGUAAAGACCAAUCGGAUGCUUUGGGAUAAAAAUCCACUUUAGAAAUUAAAUUAUCCAUUUCAGUUUACCGCCCUAAUUCAUAAGUCAAUGUCCAACUCUAUUUGAUUUUGUAUUGAACAAAAUUUAGCUGUUAUACCAACUUCUGUUUCUGCAUGAAUUUACAUAUAACAUAAGAUCUCUGUGGACUGGGUGUGGUGACUUGCAUCUGUAAUCCCAGCACUUUGGGAGGCUAAGGUUGCAGGGUCACUUCAGCCAGGGAGUUUGAGACCAGACUAGGCAAUAUAGUGAGACCUCGUCUCUACAAAAAAUUUAAAAAACAAACCAAAAACAGCCAAAUGUGGUGGUGCACGUCUAUAGUCCCAGCUACUCUGGAGGCUGAGGUGAGAGGAUUGCUUGAGCCCAGGGGGUCAGAGGCUGCAGUGAGCUGGGAUCACACCACUGCACACCAGCCUGGGAAACAGAGGAAGAUUCUGUCAAAAAGAAAACAAAACUGUAUGAUGAUUAUACAACGUGAAAUGAAGCAAUUCCAUCAAAAUUUAUUCCUCAAUAAGAGCUCCUUGAAAAGAAUUAUAAGCUAAGUUUUCUGUUUUGUUUUUCUUUGAAAAGUGCAAAUUUCUAUAGUACACUGGUUCCACUAUUUUCUUGGAGUAUGAUAAGGUUUAUGCCAAGAGAUCACAUUAGUUUCUGUACACUGUUUCUAUUGAUUCAAGGCUCCUACCUAAGAUUAGAAGAAACAAUCAUUUUAUUAACUGCAGUCAAAGGGUUAUGGAGAAAAUCUGUGUCCGCCGGAUAUACAUAAUUCCAUCUUUCCUUCUUAGCACUCUUAUCUUAUUUCAUCUAGAGAUUUUCCCUAGAUGAAAUAAGGUGGAAAAUCAAUAAGAUCUUCAGAGGGUGGGGAGAGGAGUGGAAGGACAGAAGAGGAGGAGAGAAAGGGGAGAGGCCGGGCUCCCACAAAAGUGUGCAAAAGCAACCAAUUCCCCAUGAGCUUCUCUGACGUGCAGAACCUCAAUCUGAAAUAGAGAGUGGAGUCAGAUGGAAAUUGAACACGUUCAUGACUCAGAUUCUUCCUGAGCACCUCUCUGUCGUUGUCCUAAAAAGCAUUACAAUUUGGUGAAAGAGGGCAGUUCCUCUAGGAUGGCCAUCUAUCUUCUGAGUCCUUAUUUCUGCUACUUCAAGAAGACAAAAAUGAAUGAGUGGUCUGCUUGGAGUCUAUCCAUAGCAGAGAGGCCUUUUCCAGUUUGCUCUUUUCUAAUUCUUUUUAGUCACUUGAUUUUGUUAGGAAAUCAAAUCUACAGGUUCAUUUCAACCUGCAGAUUCAAGGUCUUCUGGAGGCUUCAUGCAUUUAUACUUCCAAAUCCAAAAAGAGAUCUUGAUAAAGC